AGUGAACGCUGGCGGUAGGCCUAACACAUGCAAGUCGAACGGCAGCACAGUAAGAGCUUGCUCUUACGGGUGGCGAGUGGCGGACGGGUGAGGAAUACAUCGGAAUCUACUUUUUCGUGGGGGAUAACGUAGGGAAACUUACGCUAAUACCGCAUACGACCUACGGGUGAAAGCAGGGGAUCUUCGGACCUUGCGCGAUUGAAUGAGCCGAUGUCGGAUUAGCUAGUUGGCGGGGUAAAGGCCCACCAAGGCGACGAUCCGUAGCUGGUCUGAGAGGAUGAUCAGCCACACUGGAACUGAGACACGGUCCAGACUCCUACGGGAGGCAGCAGUGGGGAAUAUUGGACAAUGGGCGCAAGCCUGUUCCAGCCAUACCGCGUGGGUGAAGAAGGCCUUCGGGUUGUAAAGCCCUUUUGCUGGGAAAGAAAAGCAGCAGGUUAAUACCCCGCUGUUCUGACGGUACCCAAAGAAUAAGCACCGGCUAACUUCGUG
rnacentral:rRNA from 1 species